rnacentral:rRNA from 1 species
AGUGAACGCUGGCGGCGUGCUUAACACAUGCAAGUCGAACGAGAACGGAUUAUAGCUUGCUAUAAUUGUCAGCUAAGUGGCGCACGGGUGAGUAAUGUAUAGGUAAUAUGCCUCUUACUAAGGGAUAACAAAUGGAAACGUUUGCUAAUACCUUAUACUCCUUAUUAACAGAAGUUAAUAAGGGAAAGAUUUAUUGGGAAGAGAUUAGCCUUUAUUGUAUUAGUUAGUUGGUGGGGUAAUGGCUUACCAAGACUAUGACACAUAACUUGUUUGAGAGGAUGAUCAGUCACACUGGAACUGAGACACGGUCCAGACUACUACGGGAGGCAGCAGUGGCGAAUAUUGCACAAUGGACGAAAGACUGAUGCAGCAACGCCGCGUGGAGGAUGACACAUUUCGGUGCGUAAACUCCUUUUAUAUGAGAAGAUAAUGACGGUAUUAUAUGAAUAAGCACCGGCUAACUCCGUGCCAGCAGCCGCAGUAA